UUAAAGAGAUUACAAAGAGAGAAAACGCUCAUCCAUUUGUUUCAAGACUACUUUCUAAUUAUUUUAUACAGUGCAUUCUGGUAACCUGAAGUAUACGUUACCAGGCUGAGGAGCGGGUUAGAAAAUGGAAUAUCCACAGUAAUAUAUUUAAUAUACUUCAUGGCUGCUUUCCCUAACAUCUUAAUGAAACCCAGCCGUGAAACCUCAGUGCCAGCUGUUGGUUCCACCCAGCCACUGGUUGGCCUCACCUCCCCAUUGCCAGGAAAAAUGAGAUGUGUUCUUUGAAGGAAAGGAUGGCAAUUUAGUCUGUGGCCAAAACAGACAGAGAAGAGAAAUCAUGCUUCAGAGCCUAAUCUUCUUGGAAGCACCCUCAGACAGUAAAGUCUGGUUCUUCAGCUCCUCAAAGAACAAAACAGAUGUCCUCUUUGGAGGCUGCUGGUGAUCCUGCAUUGCUUGUUGCUGAUAUGAACUCAAGUAGUUUUAUUUGAGCCAAGUUUCAGCCAAUGAACGGGGUUAGAUCUAGAUAGGCUGUAGGAAUCCGAUGUCGAAGUGACAAUACGCAAGCAACAGGAGAAAGGAAAUCCUUUGUGCCUGCUGGGCCAGAUGUUUCAAAGUGUUUUGGUUCUGCUGACUAACGAUCGCCGUUCAACGGUGCAAGGUAUUGCACAGAACAACGACACCUGUGUGCGCACCAUAAUUUGAAGGCAAUCUGUAUCCUUCUGAGCAUGAACUUGGUCACUGCCCACCAGUGCUUACUUUGCGAGAUUGCUUGGGAGGUCCAAAAUCAAACAGGUCUCUGGGAAAACCAAGCUCACUCAUUAACAGGGAGGUCUUAAUAAAUUGUACUCUAGGGAUUUGUGCUCUGAAUUGCUUUCUAGUCACCCCUGGGACUGGAAGUUGAUGCUCUAACGCUGCUCCAGACCUUGCUGUGCUCCUGGGCAAGUAGAUGACAAUAUAAUCACAGCUGAUCUCAGGAGAGCUGAAUUCUGCCAUUCUCAGCUUGAAAGAAAAUUAGAUAUUAAUAAGGAGUAGAAGGUAAAAAGUUCUGAAACUCAGAAGCCUUUAACAUCCAUUGAGAAUGUGGACAGGGGAGCAAAAAUUAUGAAAUGUGGCUCGGCCCUGCUGCUGCCCACAGUGCCACAGGGCCACCCUGCGAGCAAGGAUCGCUGGGGAGAGCUCCUGGCUCUCCUCGCUUCAUCUCAUCUAAAGUAGUUAUUUCCAUCCAGCCCUAGAUUUUAAGUUACGUAUAAACUGAUCUGUAACAUUUCCUCUUUGCUCCAAAUUCCCAGAUGUUGUCCCAAAAACCCUUUCCAGGUUUUCAAGUUAUAUCAAAGCCCCGCCUGAAGAAUGCAAGAGAAGCACGUUUCAUCUCAUGGUGUCUUUAUGUCCAAAAAGGCUGUGCCUGGCCCAGGGUUGUCUUGCCCAUACAGGACCUGAGGGUUGAAUACUGUAUGUGAGUGGAGGGGAAGUGCUCUUGGAGAACGAGCGAUUGAAAAGGUACUUCUGACUAUUAACUUGGAGAAAACUAGCAACAUUGGUUCUGGUUUCCUAAGGGUCCUCCAAGUCCUGAAGAUUUGGGUUAGUGAAGGAUGGCAAGCGAGUCUCAGAGCCAUGCAAUAAAUUCAUGGACUUUUCCCUACUCAUGGCCCUGCGUGUGGUGAAUUCAUUAGUGUAACUGUGCCCUUAGUCUAACCUUCUUAAUUGCAAAGGCAUCAGUGAUUUUGUAGCCCCUUACUGUUGAUGGAGAUAUUCCUUACCCCAGGGGGGAAACAUGGGCUUCAGGAGAAGGCUCAGGUAGUUUCUGUCCUUCCCAAAGCACUGAUGCAGGGGAUAUCUGUGCAAACUGAAAAGCAAACUGAUUCUGCAGUCUCUGCCUUAUUUUUCUAUGCCCGACAAGUAACAGAGUGGCUGCACUUUAUUAAUGCCAAUAACUUUCUAGUUUGAGCUGUUAGUAUACAGCUUGAUAUUUAUAUUUAUUUAUUUGUAGCAUCCAGACUUUGUACUGUCUGGAUUAAUCCUCAAGCUAAUCUGAUGCUGAGCUAUUAUUGUGACGAUUGAGUAUACAAUUUGACAUUCAUGCUGUACCUUGUGUAGCUAAUUUAUGUAACUCAAUUUAUAAAUUACAUAAAUUGGUUACAUAAUUUACCACAUACCUUGUACACUUCACAGUAAUAUUCCCAGCUUGCAAUUUAAACAAUCCUUAUACUGAGAAUAAUUUACGCUGAAGACUCUUGAAUAAUUUUGCAAUCUAUUUCUGGACAGAUAAGGAGCCGUGUUUGUUAAGUAAAUGCUUGCUAGUGUUGGUUUUAACUUAUUAAUCGCCCUAUCCCAAUUCCCAGGUAGUCCAUAGCCUGUGUGCCCUCCUGGGUGACGCCGUGCUGGCAGGGCCAGACAGACCCAUGCAGAGGUCGAAGUCUUCACCUUGUGCCUUUAGGAGCUUCUGUCUUGGAAGGAGUCAUCUCUCCCUCUGUUACCCAGUGGAAACUGAGCUUCAGCACAGCCAAUACCACCUGGAAAACCAACUCUGCUGCCUGUGGUCUCAUCCAGGAGUGUAGAACUGAGCUUCUCCAUCGACCACCUGAGCACAUUUGAAAUUCUAUUACCAUUUCAGAAGGCAGCCGUUUGAAGAGAAAAUUGAAUACCCGUCCUGUCUUGAUAAGAAGGGACAUUUGGUACUAACGGGUACCUUUGCUGGAGUGAGCGCUUCCAGCAUCAUCUCACCGGUUUGCAGGAAAUUAAGAUGUGACCUCACCUGAUGCUC